AGUAAUUGUGUCUGAUAAAAGUAAUAAACUGUAAAUUUAUUUAUAGAAAUAAAUUCUCAUUACUA
rnacentral:tRNA from 1 species